CCGAAAGGCAGGAGUGCCUGCAAGGGAGCGCGGAGACAGGUGGUGCAUGGCUGUCGUCAGCUCGUGUCGUGAGAUGUUGGGUUAAGUCCCGCAACGAGCGCAACCCUCACCUCUUGUUGCCAUCAGGUCAUGCUGGGCACUCUAGUGGAACUGCCCCGGUCAACGGGGAGGAAGGCGGGGAUGACGUCAAGUCAUCAUGCCCCUUACGUCCUGGGCUACACACGUGCUACAAUGGCCGGUACAAAGGGAUGCCACACCGCGAGGUAGAGCUAAACCCAAAAAGCCGGUCUAAGUUCGGAUUGGAGUCUGCAACUCGACUCCAUGAAGGAGGAAUCGCUAGUAAUCGCGUAUCAGCACGACGCGGUGAAUACGUUCCCGGGCCUUGUACACACCGCCCGUCACACCACGAAAGCCAG
rnacentral:rRNA from 1 species